CCCCUCUCAGGGUCAUACCUGGAGAGAGUUUCCAGUACUCUACCAGUCCCAACUACAGGAGAGAGAGUCAAGCAGAGGCAUAUCCAUUCCAUUUCUAGCUUGGGCAGUGGCUAGCAAGUGGAAGGCAAUCUGCUACAAGU